CGGGCAGCAAAAAAAAAGCAAAGAUCUUUGUUAAAGUGGGCUACUGAAAUUGCAGGGAUGCAAAACAUUUCCUCACCAACAAAGCUAGAGUUAUAAGCUAGUUGUGUGCAGGUAUACCUUGUGAAACUCCAAUGUGUCACCACCGGUUU